UACAGAGGUCUCAAGCGUUGUUCGGAUUCAUUGGGCGUAAAGGGUGCGUAGGCGGCGUGGUAAGUCGGAUGUGAAAUCUCGGAGCUUAACUCCGAAACUGCAUUCGAUACUGCCGUGCUUGAGGACUGGAGUGGAGACUGGAAUUUACGGUGUAGCGGUGAAAUGCGUAGAUAUCGUAAGGAAGACCAGUGGCGAAGGCGGGUCUCUGGACAGUUCCUGACGCUGAGGCACGAAGGCCAGGGGAGCAAACGGG
rnacentral:rRNA from 1 species